CGAGGCCACGUGUUCGCAGCCAGGCCACCUCUCCCAGGCUCACCCCAGGGCUCAGCCAGCCUCUCGGCCGGGAGUCCAAACCCUGAGCCCACUGGCUACUAUUGGCCUUUUCCAGCCACUACAAAGGAACCCAGGCCCAGAAUGAGGGUGGGGUUGUCAUUCUGCCCAGAAGAGGCACAGGGUGGGCUGACAUUCUGGACAACCCCACCCUCCCCGGGCCGCCCGCAGAUGCUGGCCUGAGCACACAGAGGGACAGAGCUUCGGUUUUAUGCAGGCCAAGGGCCCAGGGUGUGGCACCAGGCCUCACCACACCUGCCCCGGUCUGUCAGCUGUGCUUCAGGCCUCCAGCUGCAGCACACCUCCUCCAGGAAGUCCUCCAGGAAACAGUCCCUGCCUGCCAGCUCCAUCAGGCCUGGUAGCCCCAGGCUCUGCGUGAGUCAGCGUGCCAGUGCAGAGGCCAGGCAGGGCGGUCCUGUCUAGAGGUAGUGUGGCCCUCGGUGUGCGUGGGGAGGGCUGCAGUGAGGGGCGGCAGGACUCAGCCAAGUCCUUCCCCUUCUCAUGAACCUGCCUCGGCCCCAACAGCUCAUCAGUCAGCAAAUCCAUGUGGCUAGACCUUCCAGCCACACCUGGGCUCUGGCCACACCUGCUCAGGUCAAGGUGGUCUCCUCUCUCUGGGACCCGCGCCCACCUCCUCCCAGUAUCAGAGCCCCUGCUGGCAAACAAUCUUUUGAAAAACUUAUGUAGAUCACAGGCCUCCUCCACCAGCUCCCUGGGCCCCCAUCUCACUCCAAUAAAAGUCUCAGUGACGGCUCA